rnacentral:rRNA from 1 species
UACGAGGGGUGCAAGCGUUGCUCGGAAUUAUUGGGCGUAAAGGGUAGGUAGGUGGUCUGAUUUGUCAGGGGUGAAAGCCUUGGGCUUAACCCAAGAAGUGCCCCUGAAACGGUCAGACUGGAGUCUUGGAGAGGGUCGUGGAAUUCCCGGUGUAGCGGUGAAAUGCGUAGAGAUCGGGAGGAACACCAGAGGCGAAGGCGGCGACCUGGACAAGCACUGACACUCAACUACGAAAGCGUGGGGAGCAAACAGG